UUUUAUGGAGAGUUUGAUCCUGGCUCAGGACGAACGCUGGCGGCGUGCCUAAUACAUGCAAGUCGAGCGGAAAUUUUAUUGGUGCUUGCACCUUUAAAAUUUUAGCGGCGGACGGGUGAGUAACACGUGG
rnacentral:rRNA from 1 species